GUACAAAGGUAGCAUAAUCRUUAGUUUUUUAAUUGAGAACUUGUAUGAAUGGUUGAAUGAGAAAUAAACUUUUUUAAUAGAAAAAUUGAAUUUUACAUUUUAAUUAAAAGGUUAAAAUGAUUUUAAAAGACGAGAAGACCCUAUAGAUUUUUAUAAUUUGUAUUUAAUAUUUUAAAAAAUUUAAUAAAUAUUUUUAUUUUUAUAAAUUAUUUUGUUGGGGUGAUAAUAAAAUUUAAUUAACUUUUAUUUUUUUUAUACAUUAAUAUAUGGAAAAUUGAUCCAUUACUAAUGAUUAAAAAAUUAAAUUACCUUAGGGAUAACAGCGUAAUUUUUUUUUUAAGUUCAUAUUAAUAAAAAAUUUUGCGACCU
rnacentral:rRNA from 1 species